rnacentral:lncRNA from 1 species
UUAAAUGGAUUAUUUGGAAAUGUAGGAAUAUAAUCAAAUAUCAGUCUAAAAGUUUUACUUCCAGUCAAUUGAUAGCAUAUGCAAAACGGGAACUGAGCAGUUUAAUUGAAUCUAUGGACAAAUCAUUAUCAUCUAAAAAAGAAAAUUUUGCAGCUGAAAUAAAACUUAUAAUAAAUCUUAUACAUUAGUAAGUGACGUAAUAAUUUGUACUUACUUUCCUUUCCUUUUUAGAACAUAAUACAUCCAACUAUAGAAAUAUACAAUACACGCAUUUACAAGGUCGAGCAUGUGACCUAUAAAAUCACUGACCGACACAUAACAAUGUAAUCCAGGUGUUAAAAGUACAAAAAAUAAAAUGUCAAUUAUAUAAGUAAAGGUAAAUUAUUGUGUAGAUUGUAGUGUGUUUUGGGGGACUUUUGAUGUAUUUUAUUUACUGGUAGAAUAUUGUGAAUAAUUUAUACGCAAACUCAAUCUGUGUAAUUAAUAUGAAUGUAUAACUUAUGUAUGGAAAAAAUAUAAAAUAGAUUUUUUUUUU